CAUAUGCCACCACACCCAGGUAAUUUUUUGUAUUUCUAGUAGAGACAGCGUUUCAUCAUGUUGGCCAGGCUGGCCUCAAACUCCUGACCUCAAGUGACCCUCAAGAUCUCAGCCCCCAUCUUCACAGAUUCUCAGCUUUAUAGACUUUGGUUAAAAUGGCUCAAGCAAAGGGCAUUGUAUGAACACUGUCUGAGGAGGAGCAGUGCAGGGUAUUGAUGUUAACAAUUACACCAGACUGCUCUGCCCACACCUACAUUUACAAAUACCUGGGAAACAUCCUACUGCCCCAAUACCACCUUCCAAGUCAACUUUUUGCUGUCAGCAACAUCCCCUAAUGCCUUCCUAAGGUGUUAGAUAGGCAGUCAUAAGUGUAGAAAGAAACAGGGAGCCUCAUUUUAGCUUCAGAAGCCAGAGUUGAGGCUAAAAGCAGUCACCAGGAGAAAACAAUGUCAAUUGUUUUAUUUUAAAUGUAACAUAAUAUAUAGGAGAGGAAAACAAAGAGUAAACAAAGAUUGGUAGACACUGCGUAAAGUCAUUUUUCAUAUACACUUCACCAGGACUACACCAUGGUAAUAUUACAAGCAUGCAACUGACAAGAAAUGAGAACUGAUCUGUCUUUCUAACUCUGAUGAGUAAAUUCUGUAUAGGUCCAUCACCAAGGCAUGGAACAUACAAAGUGUUUUUCUCAAAUUGUUGCAGGCGUUUCACCAGCAUUCUCUAAUUAAGCAACAUAUAUCAAGAAAAUAAAAAGCCAAUUAUUACAGCUUUCACUUCUCAAGUGGGAAAACUGAAGGAAAAGAUACAUUUAUUCAAGGUCAGGAAGAAUUUAUGACAAAGCAAGAAACAGGGGCCAUAUCUCUGACUCUUUUUCAGGAUCCACAUUGCUAAUCUCGAUCACUGGAGAGUAACUGAAA
rnacentral:lncRNA from 1 species